rnacentral:rRNA from 1 species
AGGACGAACGCUGGCGGCGUGCUUAACACAUGCAAGUGGAGCGACGAACCAGGGCUUGCCCUGGGGCAGAGCCGCGAACGGGUGAGUAACACGUGGGUCACCUGCCUUGAUGACCGGGACAACCCGAGGAAACUCGGGCUAAUACCGGAUGUGCCCGCAAGGGGAAAGGAAGCUUCGGCCUCCGCAUCAAGAUGGGCCCGCGGCCCAUUAGCUUGUUGGUGAGGUAACGGCUCACCAAGGCUUCGAUGGGUAGCUGGUCUGAGAGGACGAUCAGCCACACUGGGACUGAGACACGGCCCAGACUCCUACGGGAGGCAGCAGUGGGGAAUCUUGCGCAAUGCGCGAAAGCGUGACGCAGCAACGCCGCGUGGGGGAAGAAGGCUUUCGGGUUGUAAACCCCUUUCAGUUGGGACGAUGAUGACGGUACCCGUAGAAGAAGCCCCGGCUAACUUCGUGCCAGCAGCCGC